ensembl:misc_RNA Metazoa_SRP Metazoan signal recognition particle RNA
GCUGGGUGUGGUGGCAUGUGCCUGUAGUCCCAGCUACUCAGGAGACUGAGGCAAGAGGAUCACUUGAGUGGAGAAGUUCUGGGCUAUAGUGCGCUAUGCUGAUCGGGUGGGGUGUGCUCACUAAGGUGAGCAUCAAUAUGGUGACCUCUGGGGAGUGGGGAACCACUAGGCUGCUUAAGGAGAAGAGAACCAGUCCAGGUUGGAAAUAGAAUGCGUCAGAAUUCCUGUACAGAGCAGUAGUGGGCUUGUGCCUGUAAUAAUUACUGCACUUAAGCUUGGGCAACAUAAUGAGAAUCCAUCUAUU